GAGUCUCCUCAGGCACCUUUUCUGACUCUGAUCCACUCGUAACAAACCCCUCAUUCCACACUCUUUUCACUUCACCCCCAAAUUAUCUCCUCAAAUUUGCAGAUAAGAUGGAAGCACCUCAAGUGGAAGCCAUGGAGAUCACUACCAGAAACGAUCCUCCACAGGAAGAUGAACAAGAUAGUAUCAUUGAUGCCUGUUGUUCUUGCGUCUAUGAAUGCACCGAGACCGUGUUAGACUACUUGUUCUGUGGCCUCUGUUAGAUAUGCAUCUUUCGUUAUCGGUGAAGAAUUCCGUGAAUCUAACAGCUUCUAGAGCUUACAAACGAUUUUUUGUUGCAUCCAAGUCAGGACUGUUGAUUUUCUCUGUGAAAUUUUCCUGAAUCGAGCAAUUAUUUGUCGUCACAGGUUCAUCAUUUUGCUUUACUCUGUCUUUUGUUAAUACUAUUGGAUUAGCUCUUAAUUACAAAUACGAUACAAUAAAUCAAUCUCUCAGUUUUAUUUC